rnacentral:rRNA from 1 species
GAUCGAUACGGCAGCGCAGCUUCGAUCUGCCGGCGAGUGGCGAACGUGGUGAGUAAUACAUCGGAACGUGUCCUUAAGUGGUAAUAACGCAUCGAAAGAUGUGCUAAUACCGUCGAUCUCUGAGGAGAAAAGCAGAUCGCAAGACCUUGCGCUAAAGGAGCGGCCGUUGUCUGAUUAGCUAGUUGGUGGGGUAAAGGCUUACCAAGGCAACGAUCAGUAGUUGGUCUGAGAGGACGGCCAACCACACUGGGACUGAGACACGGCCCAGACUCCUACGGGAGGCAGCAGUGGGGAAUUAUUGGACAAUGGGCGAUAAGCCUGAUCCAGCCAUGCCGCGUGAGUGAAGAAGGCCUAUCGGGUUGUAAAGCUCUGUUUAGUCGGAAAGACAAAGAGUUGCAAUGAAUAAUUGUGAUUUAUGACGGUACCGACAGAAAAAGCACCGGCUAACUACGUGCCAGCAGCCGCGGUAAAUACGUAGGGUGCGAGCGUUAAUCGGAAUUACUGGGCGUAAAUGGCGUGCGCAGGCGGUCUUGCAAGUCAGAUGUGAAAGCCGCCGGGCUUACACCUGGGAAUUGCGUAUUGAAACUACAACGGCUAGAUGUGCAGCAGAGGGGAGUGGAAUUCCAUGUGUAGCAGUGAAAUGCGUAGAGAUGUGGAAGCAACUACCGAUGGCGAAGGCAGCUCCCUCGGGUUGACACUGACGCUCAUGCAACGAAAGCGUGGCCGGAGCAAACAGGAUAUAGAUACCCUGGUAGUCCAACGCCCUAAACGAUGUCAACUAGUCUGUCGGAUCUAAUUAAGGAUUUGGUAACGUAGCUAAGCGCGUGAAGUUGACCUGCCUGGGGAGUACGGUCGCAAGAUUAAGAACUCACAAUGGAAUUGAACGGCGGUACUCCGCGACAAGCGGUGGAUUAUGUGGAUUAAGUUCGAUGCAACGCGAAUAAACCUUACCUACCACUUGACAUGCUUGGUAAUCUAAUGGAGACAUAAGAGUAACCGCGAAAGGCGAGCCAAGACACUAGGCUGCUGCAUGGCUGUCGUCAGCUCGUGUCGUGAGAUGUUCGGGCUUAAGUCCCGCAACGAGCGCAACGUCACUAAUUGCUAUCAUUGCAAUGAGCACUUCUGUGAGACUGCCGGUGACAAACCGGAGGAAGGGAUGACGUCAAGUCCUCAUGGCCCUUAUGGGUAGGGCUUCACACGUAAUACAAUGGCGUGAGCAGAGGGUUGCCAGCCCGCGAGGCGGGAGCCAAUCUCAGAUAAGCACGUCGUAGUCCGGAUCGGAGUCUGCAACUCGACUCCGUGAAGUCGGAAUCGCUAGUAAUCGCGGAUCAGCAUGCCGCGGUGAAUACGUUCCUCGGGUCUUGUACACACCGCCCGUCACACCAUGGGAGUGGUUUUCACCAGACAGCAGGUAGCUUGAACCGUAAGGAUAU